rnacentral:tmRNA from 1 species
GGGGCUGACCGGUUUCGACAGCAAGACCAAUGGGUAAGUAAGCAUGCAGAGAACCACAGCGCGAUCUCUAUAAUCCCUUGCUGUAAAUUUUUAACUGGCAACGAAGAGUAUGCUCUUGCUGCUUAAUCUGAAGUUUAGUAGGAUUAACAUUUUUCCCGAAGUAUAGUAGGGAAACAAGAUGUCUCGCAAAAGCUCGGUUUCGCGGCGUUUGAGCACGAGGCAUAGGAAAUGCGAAAAUAAGUUCCGGGAAUCUUCGGCCCGGGAACGAAAACCAAAGAAGAUAAGCCGUAAGUUGGGUGUUUGUCCUCUGCUUGCGGACGAAAACCAAAGGCAAAAUAAGCAUGUAGAAAGCUUGCGUAUUGCUUGUUUGGACGAGAGUUCGAAUCUCUCCAGCUCCAC